UGCGGGAGAGACUGACGAAGGGCAUGG
rnacentral:sRNA from 1 species